GAGUUUGAUCCUGGCUCAGGAUGAACGCUGGCGGCGUGCUUAACACAUGCAAGUCGAACGAAGCACCUGGAUUUGAUUCUUCGGAUGAAGAUCCUUGUGACUGAGUGGCGGACGGGUGAGUAACGCGUGGGUAACCUGCCUCAUACAGGGGGAUAACAGUUAGAAAUGACUGCUAAUACCGCAUAAGACCACAGGGUCGCAUGACCUGGUGGGAAAAACUCCGGUGGUAUGAGAUGGACCCGCGUCUGAUUAGGUAGUUGGUGAGGUAACGGCCUACCAAGCCGACGAUCAGUAGCCGACCUGAGAGGGUGACCGGCCACAUUGGGACUGAGACACGGCCCAAACUCCUACGGGAGGCAGCAGUGGGGAAUAUUGCACAAUGGGGGAAACCCUGAUGCAGCGACGCCGCGUGAGCGAAGAAGUAUUUCGGUAUGUAAAGCUCUAUCAGCAGGGAAGAAAAUGACGGUACCUGACUAAGAAGCACCGGCUAAAUACGUGCCAGCAGCCGCGGUAAUACGUAUGGUGCAAGCGUUAUCCGGAUUUACUGGGUGUAAAGGGAGCGUAGACGGCUGUGUAAGUCUGAAGUGAAAGCCCGGGGCUCAACCCCGGGACUGCUUUGGAAACUAUGCAGCUAGAGUGUCGGAGAGGUAAGUGGAAUUCCCAGUGUAGCGGUGAAAUGCGUAGAUAUUGGGAGGAACACCAGUGGCGAAGCCGGCUAACUGGACGAUGACUGACGUUGAGGCUCGAAGCGUGGGGAGCACACAGGAUUAGAUACCCUGGUAGUCCACGCCGUAAACGAUGACUACUAGGUGUCGGGGAGCAAAGCUCUUCGGUGCCGCAGCAAACGCAAUAAGUAGUCCACCUGGGGAGUACGUUCGCAAGAAUGAAACUCAAAGGAAUUGACGGGGACCCGCACAAGCGGUGGAGCAUGUGGUUUAAUUCGAAGCAACGCGAAGAACCUUACCUGCUCUUGACAUCCCGGUGACCGGCAUGUAAUGAUGCCUUUUCUUCGGAACACCGGUGACAGGUGGUGCAUGGUUGUCGUCAGCUCGUGUCGUGAGAUGUUGGGUUCCCUCCCGCAACGAGCGCAACCCUUAUCUUCAGUAGCCAGCAUUUCAGGUGGGCACUCUGGAGAGACUGCCAGGGAUAACCUGGAGGAAGGUGGGGAUGACGUCAAAUCAUCAUGCCCCUUAUGAGCAGGGCUACACACGUGCUACAAUGGCGUAAACAAAGGGAAGCAAACCUGUGAGGGUAAGCAAAUCUCAAAAACAACCUCUCAGUUCGGAUUGUAGUCUGCAACUCGACUACAUGAAGCUGGAAUCGCUAGUAAUCGCGAAUCAGCAUGUCGCGGUGAAUACGUUCCCGGGUCUGUACACACCGCCCGUC
rnacentral:rRNA from 1 species